GAGGAAAAGAAACCAACAGGGAUUGCCUUAGUAACGGCGAGUGAACUGGCAAAAGCUCAAAUUUGAAAUCUGGCGUAUGCCUGAGUUGUAAUUUGAAGAGGAUGUCUUUUGCUUUAACUUGAGGUUUAAGUCUUCUGGAACGUAGCAUCAUGGAGGGUAAUAAUCCCGUAUGUGAUUUCAAGUUUUUUUAAGCAAUAUAAGACUCCUUCAAUGAGUCGAGUUGUUUGGGAAUGCAGCUCUAAAUGGGAGGUAAAUUUCUUCUAAAGCUAAAUAUAGGCUAGAGACCGAUAGUGAACAAGUAGAGUGAUCGAAAGAUGAAAAGUACUUUGGAAAGAGAGUUAAACAGUAUGUGAAAUUGUUGGAAGGGAAGCAUUUGCAAUCAGAUUUGUGUUGUAAAAAUUCACCUACACUUUAUGUGCUUAGAGCAUUUUUUUUCAACACUUGUCAACAUCAAUUUGAGUAGUGAUAUAAUCCUGGAUAAAAUGUAGCUCAACUCUUUGAGUGUUAUAGUUAUCUUUGCUUAAUCACUCACUUAAAUUGAGGCUUGCGAUUACCAUGGAUGUUGACUUAAUGGUUGUAAG
rnacentral:rRNA from 1 species